rnacentral:misc_RNA from 1 species
CCAAUUUUCUAUUGUCCUUUCCUCUCGGGGAACAGGGCUAUACCUAUGUAAAUUGUUGAACUUGUGCUGUGAGGAAAUUUGGGCAGUUAUUGCUAACGCAAUGUGCCCAUUACUACCUUGCACGUUAAACAACUUUAGACAUACUACCACAACUUACUACAAAAAUAAAUGAAACCUCUAGGAUUCACUACGGUUGAGUGGGUAACACCCUUGACCAAAACAAAAUAACAAUAAUA